UGCGCAGGCGGCUUAUUAAGUCAGUGGUGAAAUCUCUCGGCUCAACCGAGAAACUGCCAUUGAAACUGAUAAGCUUGAGUGUAGUUGUAGUAGGCGGAAUAUAGCAUGUAGCGGUGAAAUGCUUAGAUAUGCUAUAGAACACCGAUCGCGAAGGCAGCUUACUAAACUAUUACUGACGCUCAUGCACGAAAGCGUGGGGAGCAAACAGGAUUAGAUACCAUGGUAGUCC
rnacentral:rRNA from 1 species